UACGAGGGGGGCUAGCGUUGCUCGGAAUCACUGGGCGUAAAGGGUGCGUAGGCGGGUUUUUAAGUCAGAGGUGAAAUCCUGGAGCUCAACUCCAGAACUGCCUUUGAUACUGAGAAUCUUGAGUACGGGAGAGGUGAGUGGAACUGCGAGUGUAGAGGUGAAAUUCGUAGAUAUUCGCAAGAACACCAGUGGCGAAGGCGGCUCACUGGCCCGUUACUGACGCUGAGGCACGAAAGCGUGGGGAGCAAACAGG
rnacentral:rRNA from 1 species